CCUACGGGUGACAGCAGUGAGGAAUAUUGGUCAAUGGACGAAAGUCUGAACCAGCCAAGUCGCGUGAAGGAUGACUGCCCUCUGAGUUGUAAACUUCUUUUAUAAAGGAAUAAAACGAGGCACGUGUCCCUUUUUGCAUGUACUUUAUGAAUAAGGAUCGGCUAACUACGUGCCAGCAGCCGCGGUAAUACGGAGGGUCCGAGCGUUAUCCGGAUUUAUUGGGUUUAACGGGCGCGUAGAUGGGUUGUUAAGUCAGUUGUGAAAGUUUGCGGCUCAACCGUAAAAGUGCAAUUGAUACUGGCAGUCUUGAGUAUAGGAGAGGUAAGCGGAAUUCGUGGUGUAGCGGUGAAAUGCUUAGAGAUCACGAAGAACCCCGAUUGCGAAGGCAGCUUACUAAACUGUGACUGACAUUGAUGCGCGAAAGUGUGGGUAUCAAACAGGAUUAGAUACCCCAGUAGUC
rnacentral:rRNA from 1 species